rnacentral:rRNA from 1 species
UACGAAGGGGGCUAGCGUUGUUCGGAUUUACUGGGCGUAAAGCGCACGUAGGCGGAUCGUUAAGUCGGGGGUGAAAUCCUGGAGCUCAACUCCAGAACUGCCUUCGAUACUGAGAGUCUUGAGUCCGGGAGAGGUGAGUGGAACUGCGAGUGUAGAGGUGAAAUUCGUAGAUAUUCGCAAGAACACCAGUGGCGAAGGCGGCUCACUGGCCCGGUACUGACGCUGAGGCACGAAAGCGUGGGGAGCAAACAGG